rnacentral:misc_RNA from 1 species
UUUACAUGUUGCAGUACAGGUAUCUGUCCAAAUGUCAUACAAUUACAGAUUUUAAAAACAGAAAACGGCAUCAUGAAUAAUGUCCACACCAUAAGUAACCAAGCUAUUCACAGAGGAACUGAGAAGUGAAAAGCAAGCUGCAACUGCUCUGUGCUGAUUUUAUCAGUCCCAAAGUUAUAAUGUUUACCCCUUAACUAAAUUGUUCAUUGCAAUAAGGGACAGGAAAUAGAUGGAAAAAGCACACUUUAGUUUGCCAAAAUGGAAUUAAAAAGAUUGGGAAGAAACCAUUGCUGCAUGCACACACACACAUUGAUGGGUCCAGAACUACUUUAACCCCAUCCAAAGGUAGCAAAAGAGCGUAAAUUAGCAAAAGAAGAGGGGUACGAUAUCAGGAACCAGAUGAUGAAGAUGAGAAACGUACCGCCGCCCUUGAUGGAUAAUAAAAGGAU